ncrna:unclassified sequences Streptococcus sRNA SpF59 (ldcC RNA)
GGACCACUCCGAAAGGAGUCAAGGCCAUACGGACAGCCGGGUCCACUGCCGA